AGCUUCGCACAGUGGAAGUAUUGUAGCCAAUGAGGUUUAUCUGAAGCGCACAAUUAUUGCUAAUUGAAAACUAUAAUAAUUAAAACUAUGGUAUUGGCAUAAAGAUAUAAAUAGAUCAUUGGAACAGAGAAUCCAGAAAAAAAUCU
rnacentral:snRNA from 1 species